AACGCACGAGACCUGCGGACCUGCGGAGGGAUCAUUACCGAGUUCUCGCCCCUCGCGGGGUAGACCUCCCACCCACUGUGAUCACUACCGUCGUUGCUUUGGCGGGCCGCUGGGCCCAGCCCACCGCCGGCCCCGGCUGGCGCGUGCCCGCCAGAGGCCCUACAAACGCUGGAUAUCAGUGCCGUCUGAGUACACAUGUUAAUCGUUAAAACUUUUAACAACGGAUCUCUAGAUCGGAAG
rnacentral:misc_RNA from 1 species